ACACGGAAACUGCUUCAGUCUCGUCUCCCGCAUCGAGCAAACUAACGAGCACCAUUUUAAACUGAUGACUGUUUGUUUAAAUUCCGCUGUACAUGACUUGGACGGCGAAGCUUUGACAGUUGCCAAAGUUGGAUUUACUUUUUCGCCACUUCAGACAGGUCCCAGCGGUAGUAUUUAGACCAAUUAUGUCUUUAUUCUAAAACAAAUGAGCCAAUUAUAUUUUGUCUGCAUGACUAUUUUGUCGGUUUUUAUUUACAGAUCGCUUGAACAUGAAGAGUAUGCAGAUAAAAAAAAUACUGCGUGAGGUACCGAUGGUGCAGCUUUGCUUCAAACGACAGUGAUAAAGUUUGAGAGAAGACACGAGAGAGGGAGAGAAAGCUGCUGCAGCCAGACAUGGUUCACAUGUGGCCCCAGAGGCAGCAGACAGUGGAUUGAAUUACGGUAACACAAGGUGUAAUGUGGUAGCAGGGUGGAUGUCAAAGGAGCGGAUGUAAAGGAGGGGCGCUCCAGCUUUCUAUUACACCUAAUUAAUGUUUGAUUAUGUGUUUUAUUUUUCUCAUAUUUCAGGUAACUAUUAAUUAGUUCAAAUGGCAGCCAUGCUUUCUAGAAUGACCACAAAUGUGUAAUUAGGACGAUUGCAUGAUUGUUGUUCACAGUUUUAACAAACAGUAUAACCGCAUACAGAAUGAUCUGAAAAAUCAAAUCGAACACUGCACAAUCAUAGCUCUUGAAGAUCUCUGAAAUGUCUCUGAGAUGAUUAAUAAAGCAUUACUGUUAUAAAGUAAUAUGUAGUGGUGUGUCUAAUUGCAGUUUGACUUCUUACAUGUCACACGUUUAACAAAUAAAAGUUGUAAGACUUAA